UGGGGAAUAUUGGACAAUGGGGGCAACCCUGAUCCAGCCAUGCCGCGUGUGUGAAGAAGGCCUUCGGGUUGUAAAGCACUUUCAGUGGGGAAGAAGGCCUUGGGGUUAAUACCCUCGAGGAAGGACAUCACCCACAGAAGAAGCACCGGCUAACUCCGUGCCAGCAGCCGCGGUAAUACGGAGGGUGCGAGCGUUAAUCGGAAUUACUGGGCGUAAAGCGCGCGUAGGCGGCGUGAUAAGCCGGUUGUGAAAGCCCCGGGCUCAACCUGGGAAUGGCAUCCGGAACUGUCAGGCUAGAGUGCAGGAGAGGAAGGUAGAAUUCCCGGUGUAGCGGUGAAAUGCGUAGAGAUCGGGAGGAAUACCAGUGGCGAAGGCGGCCUUCUGGACUGACACUGACGCUGAGGUGCGAAAGCGUGGGUAGCAAACAGGAUUAGAUACCCCCGUAGUCC
rnacentral:rRNA from 1 species